UGCCAGCCGCCGCGGUAAUACGGAGGGUGCAAGCGUUAAUCGGAAUUACUGGGCGUAAAGGGCGCGUAGGUGGUCUGGUCAGUCGGGUGUGAAAGCCCCGGGCUCAACUCGGGAAUUGCAUUCGAUACUGCCAGGCUUGAGUGUGGUAGAGGGAAGCGGAAUUCCGGGUGUAGCGGUGAAAUGCGUAGAUAUCCGGAGGAACACCAGUGGCGAAGGCGGCUUCCUGGACCAACACUGACACUGAGGCGCGAAAGCGUGGGGAGCAAACAGGAUUAGAUA
rnacentral:rRNA from 1 species